GGGGGAAGGUGACGGGAGCCCCCGGCCUCAAAGCGCCCCGCCUGGAGCCGGGACAAAGCGCUCCCGAGAUAUUCAAACUGUUUUAUUUGCUUUCAAGUCCAGUUUCACCGUCCACCCGGCACUGACGGGCGGGAAUGUCCUUACAGGAAUUGCGGAAUCAGGGAAUUGCUCCCAUUUGGGCAUCCCAGAUUUUCCAUGGAAAACUGGGAAAGGGAACGAACCCGCGGUGCUCGGUUUGCUGGAAUUUGCUGGAGCUUCCCUCUGUUCCUAUAACAGCACCUGGCCCCUGGAAGGGCCCUGAAGAACAUCCCAGAAAUCACCUUUUCCUUGUAAUGAUCCAAUUCCAGAGGCUGAAAAAGCUGCUGGGAAUUCAGGCCAGGCUGGAUUCCCCAAGAAAACACUUCCAGAGGACUGGAACUGAACCUUUGUCCUUCCUUAUACCCACCCCUCCAUCCAGCCCUCCCCUGGCACAACUUGAGGCUGUUCCCUCAUCCUGUGCCUGUUCCCUGGGAGUGUUGACAAAUAUACAAAAUUUAAAUUUUCUUUAUUUCAUUUCUCAAGUUGGCCUCAGUUUGUCCUAGCCUCGGGGAAGGGAAUUAGUGGAGUUUUAUUUUGAGGGCAUUGUUCCACUCUGUGAGGUUUGUUAACGUCUCGACAGACUGGGAAUAGCCCAAAAAACACUGAAAAAAUUAAUGAGCAUCAACAAACAUCAGCGAACAUCUAACCCCAGAGAUUCCCCCUGGUCUGCAAAAGGCUGAUAAAUAAAUCAAUUAGUGAGGAACUAAUUAACAUCAGAGGCGAAGAAAUCCCGGUCGGGUAAGAAACCAAAUUCUGAGAACUCUGCAAUUUGGGACCAACGAGCAUUGAACCAAUGGAUUUUUAUGGGUUUUGGACUGGAUAAUGUUUGGGGAAAAUGGAAUAAAACUCACCUGUCAUGGAAUGAUUUUUGCUGCACACACAUCCCAGCCAGAAAUAAAGAAAUGCCUCAAUUCUCUAACACUAAGAAUGCUGUCGGAGGGUUUUUUGUUUUCCUGUAGUUGCGGUGACAGGAGCACAGCCUGGUCAGUUUUCAAACAUGGAUUUAACCCUUCCAGGGUUAAUCCAAGCCAUUCCAGGAUUUCAGGAUCCCAUGCUUACUUUUCCUUCUUUCCUCCUUUGCGCCACACAG